rnacentral:tRNA from 1 species
AAGAAAGUGGCAGAGCAACAUGCAGUCAAUUUGAGUUUGAACGACAGAUGCAAAAAGUAUCUCUUUCUUU